AACCGUGAUCCAACAAACGUUUUAAUUAGUUUAUUCGGAAACAACAAACGAUUCCGCAUCGAUUAAACCUAUUUUGAAACAAAAAUUGUAAUUUACCGGCUAUCUUGGCAUUAAAAAUUGUUUUCGUAUUUACAUAGAAAAUAUUGUCUAACAAAUGUUUUAAUUAAUCUAACAAUCAACAACAAACCACUAACAAACGAUUCGUAUAAACAAAAAUGUUUAAAGUCGAAGUUGUCCGGCUAACAUUAUUGAGGUCGAAUAGUUUGUGAGCGUCACAUCUGUAUGGUUGCAUGUCAACAAUAGAAAAUCUUGAAAUCUUUGUAAUGGACGACGAGUCGGUUAUAAACUGGACUUGGUAUAACCACCAACUGCAGUGGUUAUUGCAAUAUGUACAAGCAAAUUAUUAUUAUAUUGUACAGAAAAGGAAAGCUACUGCAGUUGCAGCUACACUUUUACAUUUGA